AGCACAAAGGAAGUAGCAAUGCUUUUUUGGUGGCGACCGGCGCACGGGUGAGUAACGCGUAUGCAACCUACCUACUACUUUGGCAUAGCUCGUUGAAAGACGAAUUAAUACCUUAUAAAACAGGGGCUCCGCAUGGAGAUAUUUGUUAAAGAUUUAUCGGUAGUAGAUGGGCAUGCGUUCCAUUAGUUUGUUGGUGAGGUAACGGCUCACCAAGACAUCGAUGGAUAGGGGAACUGAGAGGUUUUACCCCCACACUGGAACUGAGACACGGUCCAGACUCC
rnacentral:rRNA from 1 species